rnacentral:lncRNA from 1 species
GUCACUGAAGGAAGUUCUUGGUAAUUUAUUUAUUGUUUCUUGCAGCCUCUUAAGGAGUUGAAAUUCAUGAAUCUCAGUCACUCUUGUAACCUUAUCAGAACCCCUGACUUUACAGGGGUUCCAAAUCAAUAUAUGGGGGUAUAUUUUGGGUAUUUUGAGGGAAACCAGGUAUAUCCCACGCAAUUCGCUCAACAACAUGGAUACGGUGGAAAUUUUUCCAACUAAACAGAAGAAACCAAACAAUUGAUAGAAUAUUUUAUUAAUAAAUCCGCUGCUGUAUUACAAACUCCUUAGAUAUGUCUAACCUGAAAGAAUGCUUUAUAGAGAGUAAUUGCUUCACGUAAGAAAUAAGCUAGAACAACUCAGACACUCAGUAUAAGUACUACGUCAAUAAAAAAAUAAUUGAACCUUACAAAGUGAAUCUGACUCAACUAUUGGUGGAGAUAAACCCACCGCUCUAGCAAGCUGCAUUUCAAAGCAUAAGGCCGCCCCAUCAAAAUUAACAUCAUCAGAGAAAACAUUGCUCAAGGGGUUUUCUCUAAUUAAAAACUAUUUAAUCUAGGAGAAAUUUAAUAUAACCACUAUUUAUAUGAUAGUUUUUCAAAAAUAAAUAUAUGUAAUUCAUAAUAUUUUUUAUUUAUUAUAUGGAUGACAUAGUAAUUCUGAUGUGUUCUAAAAUUUCUCUUAAUAUAGUGUAUCAAAUUAUUAAUUUAAUUGAGAUGCAUCAACUAACAUCUCAAAUAAAUUUUAGUUGUCUGCAAUAAAUUAUUCAUUAAUAGAAUGUAAUUUAGCAUUAGAUGUAUUGAAUUUUCUUUAGCAUACAUGGCAAAAGAGCAUAAAACAUAUAUAUAAUGGAUUAAUUAUUUACAAUAAUAAAGCAUUAAUAAUAAUAAUACUAAUAAAAUAACGGAUAUAUAGUGUAUUAGAUGAACCGUAGUUAUACUUCAAAUUGUUAUACAAAAUCGUUAUUGUACAUUCGUCGUUUUCUUUUAUUUUACUCGAGUUAUAUAUUAUUUUGAAUAUUUAUUUAAAUUUUGAUAUAAAUUUUAAGUCAUUAAUUUUAUAUAAUCUAAUGAUAGAUGAAUUAAUAUUAUUAUAUAUUAUUUUGAUUUUUUAUAUUUAUUAUUAAAUAAUAUAAAAUCAAUCACUCAAAUUUUAUAUCACAAUUUAAAAUAAAAAAAUUAAAUUACAAAAACCCUCCCUAUUUUAUUUAUUUAUAUUUUCGGUAAUCCCUCAUGUUGUGCCACGCCGUCUGCAUCCCGUGUUGAUGAUAUCCUCAAAACGGUCAUCGGACGUCAUUUGGUCUAUCAAAUCAAAUUGUUAAGACAGUCCAAGGUCGCUGUCGAAAACUCGCCGACACCGCUUCAGAUUUUUUACUUUUUAUUUUAUAAUCUUUUUAUUUGCUUAAACGCUUCUCUAAAUUCUAAUAGCCACAGAUCCCAAAGGCCUUCGAAAUGGCGGCCUCUCAUACUUCGUCUUCUUCCACUCAUCAUCAAAUUCUUCAAACCAAAUACGACGUCUUUUUGAGUUUCAGAGGCGAAGAUACUCGCAACAAUUUCACCGACCACCUCCACGCAGCUUUAAUUCGCAACGGAUUCGUCGCAUUUAAGGACGACGAAACACUGGACAGAGGAAACGAGAUUUCAUCAGAGCUCUCGAAGGCAAUUGAAGAAUCCAAUGUUUCGAUUGUAAUCUUAUCGAAAAACUACGCUUCUUCCCCGUGGUGUUUGGAUGAGCUUGCGAAGAUUGUUGAGUGCGGGAACAAGAGGAAGGAUAGUAAAGUUUUCGCCGUCUUUUACGGCGUAGAUCCGGCGGAUGUGCGGAAGCAGAAAGGAGAAGAUUUUGAGAGAGCGUUUGCUAAAUAUGAGGAGGAGUUUAAGGAGAAUCAAGAGAAGGUGCUAAAAUGGAGAGCUGCUUUGACAAGAGUCGCCAGUCUCGCUGGAUGGCACUUGCAGGACAGGUUCUUUCCUUUAAUUUAUUUGUUAUUGUUUAAUUAUUUAUUCAUGGUAAUAAUUUUUUGCUUAUUUAGUAGUGACGUGUCAACAAUUGCCUAUUACAAACUCACACACGUCACAUCGCUGGAGAUCUGAUCUGUUUAGAAGCUACAACGUAGUCAAAUUUUUAUCCGAAUUAAUUUUGAAUUGUUUUUAUUAUGAGUGCUGCUGUUUUUAUCCAGAGUCAAACUCCGAAUCGGUUUCUUUGUAAUACUUUUUAAAUUUGUUAUAGAACUGUGAAAAGCCUAUUAAAUUAAGACUGUUCUUAUUUCGAAUCAAACUUCUUUUAAUCCCUUGACUACUUGAAUUUAGAUUCUAAUAAAUAGGAUAUUUUUAUGUAUUAUCUUAUGUUUAUUUUUAAAGUAUUUUAAUAUUAUUGUUAACUCAGAUCUGUUAAAUUGAGAAUAGCGGAAUGUAAAUAAUGUUAAUAUUCGACUAUCUAUAAUAUUUCUAAUUAUAACUUCUUCUAAAUUAAUUAUUCAGAAAGGUAUUGUCUACACUAUUUCUUAUAUUGUAUCUUUCGUUAAAUGCUACUUCUAUUCUUAUAUUUGUUAUAACCCUUAAUUUAAUGUUACAAUCUAUAUAACUUCUUAUUACGAUUAGUCUUCCUAAAUUAUUAACUUGUUUAAUAUAUUCUUUAAAUGCUUCAAUAGAACAAUAUUGAAUUGAUCGAGGACUGUACAAACUAAUAGAACAAAAAAACUCAGAGAUAAAUCACUAAUAUUAACUCCACAAUUAUUGUUGGAUUUUGUUUUUCUUAAUCAAGUCAUUGUUUGAAACCCAAUCCAUAUAGAUGCAUUAGGAAGAAAAUUAGCAUCAAUCAUGCUUAACCUAAUGGUAGUACGAAAAUGAUUUGUGGUGGCUUAUAUCCAAUAAAAGCACCAUAAUGGAGAUUCAAGGAGAUGUAUAUUAUGAGUUUCAAGCCUAACAUUCAUAUUUUUUCUUAAGGGAUCUAACAACAUUAAAGAACUUGAAAACUUAAAAGGUUUAAAUAUUCCUUAGAUCUACACAACUAAUUCUUUAACCAAGUAGAUUAGACAUUGGAAAACUAGAAUAAUAGCAAGGGAAUUUGAGAUUUGAGAAUUUACUGGUCAUUCUAAAUUGAUUGCUAAAGAUUUUAAUCAAAAGAUAUAUUCUCGCCAAGAUAUACGUGAAAUCCCUUUUCUUUCAAAAACCACAAAUUAUCAACUUGUAGAUUUCUAUCGAGAGCAAUUCAAAGAAGAUAUCAAGGCCUACAAAUCUCUAAUGAAAAAUCAAUCAAGUGAAGAAGAAGAUAAAGGUAGAAACUUCUACAACGAUUUAGGUGGUAUUGAGGCCCAUAAUCUUGACAACAUGUUAGAACCUUGACUCGGUAGUGGUCCACUCUCCAUUAAUCACCAUCACUCACUACCUUUUUAGAGCACAACUUUAAACAGAAAAGGUUGCGAUGAUAAUUCUGUCGAUACUCACCUUUUUUGCGUGGAUGUAAAGACAACAUCGUUUUCUCAAUGGACGGAGUUGUUUUCCUUUAGGGAGGAUUGUAAGAUCAUAAAAAAAAAAAAAAAAAAAAAUCUUGUAGCAAAAUUAAAUUUGUAGAAGUUCCAAGGCAAUUGUUCAAUUUCCUAAAAGUCAUAACAAGUAAAUUAGUUUUAUUCAGCAUUAUAUAUUGCAACUAGGUUACUUAGUUCUUCUCUAAUAAAGAAACCAAUCUUUUGUAAACUUCUAUAUGUUUAUAAAAGAACAAGUUUAUAUGUUGCAAAUCUUUUACCUUUUAUUUGUAUUUAAAGAAUGUUUUCUAUAUGAAAAGAAUAAGAUUAGACUAUAGAACAAAAUUUAGGUUUUCAGAAAAAUCUGAAGCCUUAAAAAAUGACCUUUGAGUGCCCAAUUUUUCUCCUAAGUACCGUUUUAGCCGAAGGAUAGGCAUUUGAAAGAAAAAGGGAGGUUUUGUAUUGGGAUUUCCAUGCCCCGAAUAGGGAGAAGGUUCUUUAAAAAAAUCUUUUGUUUUAAUAAAAAAGUUUAAUUUUAUACUCUGAACUGUUACAAAAUAGUUUUUCAACUUUUUUUCUUUUUACGAAUUUGGUUAAUAUUGUUGACAAAACUUGUUAUUUAAGAAAUUUUUUGAAAGUUUAUAAAAGAAUCUGGGAGUAUCUAGUGGAGAAAAACAACUGUUUAUAACAAUUUUUUUAAUCAAAAUUUGCUUGCAUGCCUUUAGAUAAUUAUACUUGUUUUACUUUAUAAAAUUGUUCUAUUGAAGCAUUUUGUGAAUAUAUUAAACAAGUUGAUAAUUUAAGAAGACUAGUCGUAAUAGGAAGUCAUAAAGAUUAUAGUAUUAAAAUAAGAGUUGUAGCAAAUAGAAGAAUAGAAGUAGCAUUUAAUGAAGGAUAUAAUACAAGAAAUAGUAUAGAAAAUACCAUUCCUGAAUGAUUAAUUUAGAAUAAGCUAUAAUUAAAAAUAUUAUAAAUAGUUGAAUGUUAUCAUUAUUUACAUUUUGCUGUUCUUGACUUAGCAUAUCUGAGUUAAUAAUAAUAUUGGAAUACGUUAAAAAUAAAUAUAGGAGAAUACAUAGAGUUAUCCCGGUACUAGAAUCCAAAAUUAAGUAGUCAAUGGAUUAAUAGGAAAAGUUUAAAAUAGUAUUAGUCUUUAAAUAUUCGACUUUUUACAAUUUCAUAAGAAGUUUAGAAAAUAUAACAAAGGAACCAUUUUUGAGAUUUGACUCUGGACUUAACUCAGGAUAAAUAGCAACACUCUAUUAUUAUAGCAUAGUCUGGAAUGUUUAUACUCAAGAUCACGUUAAUUUACAACUAUUGUUAAAUAUAAAUUAUAAUUCUUUGAUAUGACUAACAAGCACAUUGGCAAUACGUGACGACUUUUGUUUUCAUUAAAAAUCUCUUUUAUUUAAACAUUUUCCCAUUUAUCCUAACAAGUAAGUUCGUAUAUAACUAAAUUUAAAAUCAAUCAAGUAUAAACAAAUAUUAGCCAUGUGUUAUCAAAAUGUCAACUCCUUAGUCAAAUUAAAGAGUUACAUAUAACAACGGCUGUUAGUUAGCAUAACCCUUAGACUCAAUUUAGGCCAUAUCAUAAAUCUACUGUCAAUUCAAGACUGGGCAGAAAAGUUUCAAAUGGGCCUCGAAACCCAGGGCUCAUCAUAGCCAAUUGAGUCUGACUAUGAAGGAAUUCUACAAUGUAUCAGAGAUAAUACAACUAAUUGAUAUAUGGAUGACAUUUGUAAUUGAAUUUAAGGUAAAUAUCACUUGCAAAAUGAAUUUUUAAAAUAAAUAAAUAUAUGUCAUAACAUGAUUUGCUUGUAAUAUUGUAGACAUGAUACCUUUGAUAUAUUGUAAAAUUUCUCCUAAUCAACCGUGUCAUUAGAAAAAGCACAAUUGUAAAAGUAGAGUGGUGACAGAGAGCUACCUCUACCUCGCAAAGUAAAGUUGAACUAAUAACAACGAAAAUACUUCAAAAUUUAGAUGUGCAUAAGAGAGAGCUCACUCCAAUCUCACCUCAAUUUCAGAUGAGAAUAAAUAAAAAUUAAACUAAUAAUAAAAUUAUUCCGAAUUUUAAAUUAAUAAUAAACUUACCUGAAAAAUUUGCUUUGCUGGGGUUGAAGUGGGUUCAUUGGUAGGCGACAUAAUUUUUCAUAAAAGUAAAACUAUUGCAAGCUGUUUCAUCAAUUAUGGUCUAUGGCAACUUUUUUGUUUUGUGAGUCUACAGUUGAGCAUCAAUAAAUAUUGUAGGCACCUUACUUUUGGCAAAUUAAAAUUUCCUGUUUUGAUUUAUUGUUCUUCACCGUAGGCGUGAGUCAGAAUUGAUCAAAGACAUUGUUAAAGAGAUAUCGAAAAGAUUAAACCCAACGUUUCCAAGUGCUGUUGAUGGCCUUGUUGGAAUAGCGUCUCGCAUGGAGAAAAUGAAUGGAUAUUUAGAAGCAGGAUUAGAUGAUGUUCGGUUCAUUGGCAUUUGUGGAAUGGGUGGAAUUGGAAAAACUACGCUUGCUAAAGUUUUAUACAAUACGCUCAAAGAUCAAUUUGAAGCUAGCAGCUUUCUUGCCAACGUUAGAGAAGUCUCUGUAACAAGAGGUCUGGUUCCUUUACAAGAACAGCUUCUUUCUGAGGUCCUAAUGGAAAGAAAUUUAAUCAUAUGGGACGUUCAUAAAGGAAUUAAUUUGAUUAGAUGGCGGCUAUGUCGCAAAAGAGUCCUUGUCAUUCUUGACGAUGUGGAUCAAUUAGAACAAUUACAAGCGCUGGCUGGAAAUCAUGAUUGGUUCGGUUUUGGGAGUAGAAUAAUUAUUACAAGUAGAGAUGAACAUGUGCUGAAGAGCCACGGAGUAACAAAUACGUAUAAGGUUCGAGGACUGGAUUAUGUUGAAGCUCUCCAACUCUUUCAUUUGAAAGUUUCCAACGGCAAACAACCCACAGAUGACCGUGUUGAGCUCUCGAAAUGUGUAGUCAAUUAUGCAGGAGGGCUUCCAUUAGCAAUUGAAGUUUUGGGAUCCUUUUUGUGUGGUCGAAGUGUUGAGGAAUGGAAAAGUGCUUUGAAUAGGAUACAAGAAGCUCCUAAUGAAAAAGUUUUGAAAGUUCUCAGAAUAAGUUAUGAUGGACUUGAUAGAAGAGAUAAAGAAAUAUUCUUAGAUAUUGCAUGUUUCUUCAAGGGGAAGGACGAAGAUCGAGUCAGGAAAAAACUAGACAGUUGCGUUUUUAACUCAGUUAUUGGGAUAAGAGAACUCCUAGACAAAUCCUUGAUAACUAUUGUAAAUAACAAACUGUGGAUGCAUGAUUUGCUACAGGAAAUGGGUUGGGAAAUUGUUCGAGAGCACCAUGGUGACAAGCCCGGCAAAUGGAGUAGAUUAUGGCUUUAUAAGGAUGUGUAUCAUGUUUUAUCAAAAAAUAUGGUAAGAUAUUUGUCAGGGAACAUAAUUCCAUACAUUAUUGUCUUACUAAAAGUGAAAACUAUAGUUCAAGAUAACUUCUCUCUGUUUUGAUCAUUGAUUUUUACCUUUUAAUUUUAUUUCUGUUUCCUUUAUUUAUUAGGGAACAGAUGCAGUUGAAGCUAUAAUUGUUGAUGUGGCUGAGAUGACGCAAUUGGAAGCUAAAUCAUUUUCAACCAUGAGCAAUCUGAGGUUACUUGAAAUCAAUAAUCUUUAUUCUUCGGGCAAUCUUGAAUACCUCUCAAAUAAUUUGCGGUAUCUCAAAUGGCAUGGAUACCCGUUUAAUUCUUUGCCCGUGAGUUUCUGGCCAGAGAAACUUUUUAAGUUGAACCUGUGUAAUAGUCGCAUCAAAUAUCUUUGGAAGGGCAUAAAGGUAUCAUUUCUGUAUUGCAUUCAAUAUACACAAAAUAAUAGUCACUGAAGGAAGUUCUUGGUAAUUUAUUUAUUGUUUCUUGCAGCCUCUUAAGGAGUUGAAAUUCAUGAAUCUCAGUCACUCUUGUAACCUUAUCAGAACCCCUGACUUUACAGGGGUUCCAAAUCUUGAGCGGCUGAAUCUUGAAGGCUGUACAAGAUUGCUCGAGGUUCACCAAUCUGUUGGAACUCUUAAAAGACUAAUUUUAUUGAAUUUAAAAGACUGCAGAAAUCUUGUCAGCUUUCCAAAAAAUGUCUGUCUUAUG